rnacentral:rRNA from 1 species
UACGUAGGUGGCAAGCGUUGUUCGGAAUUAUUGGGCGUAAAGGGCGCGUAGGCGGUUUGUUAAGUCGGCUGUGAAAGCCUGGGGCUCAACCCCAGAGGGUCGGCCGAUACUGGCAGACUAGAGUACGGAAGAGGUAGCUGGAAUUCCCGGUGUAGCGGUGAAAUGCGUAGAUAUCGGAAGGAACAUCGGUGGCGAAGGCGGCUACCUGGCCUAAUACUGACACUGAGGCACGAAAGCGUGGGGAGCGAACAGG